AACGAACGCUGGCGGCAGGCUUAACACAUGCAAGUCGAGCGCCCCGCAAGGGGAGCGGCAGACGGGUGAGUAACACGUGGGGAUCUGCCCGAUGGUACGGAAUAAUUCCGGGAAACUGGGACUACUACCGGAUGAGCCCGCAAGGGGAAAGAUUUAUCGCCAUCGGAUGAACCCGCGUCAGAUUAGCUAGUUGGUGUGGUAAAGGCGCACCAAGGCGACGAUCUGUAGCUGGUCUGAGAGGAUGAUCAGCCACACUGGGACUGAGACACGGCCCAGACUCCUACGGGAGGCAGCAGUGGGGAAUAUUGGACAAUGGGCGCAAGCCUGAUCCAGCCAUGCCGCGUGAGUGAUGAAGGCCUUAGGGUUGUAAAGCUCUUUCACCGAUGAAGAUAAUGACGGUAGUCGGAGAAGAAGCCCCGGCUAACUUCGUGCCAGCCGCCGCGGUAACAC
rnacentral:rRNA from 1 species